UUGAACGCUGGCGGCAGGCCUAACACAUGCAAGUCGAACGGUAACAGGAAGAAGCUUGCUUCUUUGCUGACGAGUGGCGGACGGGUGAGUAAUGUCUGGGAAACUGCCUGAUGGAGGGGGAUAACUACUGGAAACGGUAGCUAAUACCGCAUAACGUCGCAAGACCAAAGAGGGGUACCUUCGGGCCUCUUGCCAUCGGAUGUGCCCAGAUGGGAUUAGCUAGUAGGUGGGGUAACGGCUCACCUAGGCGACGAUCCCUAGCUGGUCUGAGAGGAUGACCAGCCACACUGGAACUGAGACACGGUCCAGACUCCUACGGGAGGCAGCAGUGGGGAAUAUUGCACAAUGGGCGCAAGCCUGAUGCAGCCAUGCCGCGUGUAUGAAGAAGGCCUUCGGGUUGUAAAGUACUUUCAGCGGGGAGGAAGGGAGUAAAGUUAAUACCUUUGCUCAUUGACGUUACCCGCAGAAGAAGCACCGGCUAACUCCGUG
rnacentral:rRNA from 1 species